AGUUGAGUUUUCUGGGUACACAGCAGCCCUUGGCUUUCCAUCCCAUGUGCAGCCUCUGGCCCAGCACUUAGUCCACUCUCAGUCAUAGAGCUUAUCACACAGACUUGCUCCAGUGCCCACUUGUCCAACUGCCCCAAACUCCUGGAAACCAGAAAGAACACAGAUGUAUCUCAACUGAGUGCCUACCAUAUUUCUACAGGAGGAACUGUCUUCGCAUAAAAGCCCCUCUGCAGCUCCUUAAGCUGCUCCCCAUCGCUCGAAUUACCACCUGAGCUCUGCUUCCUGUCUGAUCAGCAGCAGCAUUUGAUUCUCAUAGGAGUGCGAACUCUUGUGAACUGCGCAUAUCCUACUGAUGCUUCAAUUGCCUCAUCUUUGGUCAACAAGAGCCUCUUCAAGACAUUGGCUUCUGAGCCCUUUUGACAUGACACUAUAGCUUUAUUGCUUUCUGGAAUGAAAAAGUCUUCUUGGUU